GGAGUUAGCCGGUGCUUCUUCUGUGAGUGAUGUCCUUCCUGCCGGCUAUUAACCCGCAGGCCUUCUUCCUCACUGAAAGUGCUUUACAACCCGAAGGCCUUCUUCACACACGCGGCAUGGCUGGAUCAGGGUUGCCCCCAUUGUCCAAUAUUCCCCACUGCUGCCUCCCGUAGGAGUCUGGGCCGUGUCUCAGUCCCAGUGUGGCUGAUCAUCCUCUCAGACCAGCUACGGAUCGUCGCCUUGGUGAGCCGUUACCUCACCAACCAGCUAAUCCGACAUAGGCUCAUCCGAUAGCGCGAGGCCCGAAGGUCCCCCGCUUUCCCCCGUAGGGCGUAUGCGGUAUUAGCCUGGGUUUCCCCAGGUUAUCCCCCACUACCGGGCAGAUUCCUAUGCAUUACUCACCCGUCCGCCGCUCGCCACCAGGGAGCAAGCUCCCCGUGCUGCCGCUCGACUUGCAUGUGUUAGGCCUGCCGCCAGCGUUCAAUCUGAGCCAGAANCAACUAACUCGA
rnacentral:rRNA from 1 species